rfam:Ornithorhynchus anatinus chromosome X1, whole genome shotgun sequence.
AGCAGCAUGGCUCAAUGGAAAGAGCACUGGCUUUGGAGUCAGAGGUCAUGAGUUCGAAUCCCACCUCUGCCA